rnacentral:rRNA from 1 species
CCUACGGGAGGCAGCAGUGAGGAAUAUUGGUCAAUGGACGCAAGUCUGAACCAGCCAUGCCGCGUGCAGGAAGACGGCUCUAUGAGUUGUAAACUGCUUUUGUACGAGGGUAAACGCAGAUACGCGUAUCUGUCUGAAAGUAUCGUACGAAUAAGGAUCGGCUAACUCCGUGCCAGCAGCCGCGGUAAUACGGAGGAUUCAAGCGUUAUCCGGAUUUAGUGGGUUUAAAGGGUGCGUAGGCGGUCGGAUAAGUUAGAGGUGAAAUCCCGAGGCUCAACUUCGGAAUUGCCUCUGAUACUGUUCGGCUAGAGAGUAGUUGCGGUAGGCGGAAUGUAUGGUGUAGCGGUGAAAUGCUUAGAGAUCAUACAGAACACCGAUUGCGAAGGCAGCUUACCAAGCUACUGCUGACGUGGAGGCACGAAAGCGUGGGGAGCAAACAGGAUUAGAUACCCCAGUAGUC